AUUAGGGGCCACUGAAGUGCAGCUACAAAAGUAUUAAAUCUAUUUGCUUUUGCUGUGGAUGAGCACAGAAAAAUGAGAGAGCACUAUAAAACACAAAGAGUCAACUCAGAGAAUGAGGUGAGAUCUGUUUAUUUAAGUCAAUGUGUAGAGAGUGAAUGUAUUCUUAAAAUGAUUUUAAUAAGUGUUUGACACCAAGGGAGAGGGGAAAAAGCUUAAACCCUGUAGCGGAGAAAAUCUCACAGGUGAUUAUUUUCUGUCUGUGUGAGAAUUGAUGUAAAAAUGAAUUAUAUGAAGCUCAACUUUGCAGGUGAGUUUAGUUUAACGAGUCCCUAUAAUGUUAACACAAAGUACAGUUUGUGGUGACGGAAAGCCUGGUUUAGAUAAAUGUUUCCAUUCUACACAGGUGACAGGAGCUGCUUAACGUCCCGUAGAUCUUCACAAUAUGUUAAACAUUAGCAUUUAGGAGAUCAUUAGGCUGGCUAAUUCAUUUGUUUUUUACUAAAGAUCUCUAUGAUGCCCUAAACCUGACAGCACAUGAUAAAUGAGUUAUGCAAAAACUGUCUGAAAAUUUUCCCAGAAGAAAUUAAUUGGCAUUUUUCUCCUAGUUGACAGAACCUCACUGGUUGGGUAAUGAACGGUUAAUAAAUGAAUAAGCAUUUUGAAGCUGAGCUUUAGAUAAAUGAAAUAAAUACUUUCCCCAUCAGUUUAUUUUAAUGUUGCUUAAACCUAACAUUAUGAUGAAGAAAUAAGCGUACACAGGGGCCAGUUAAAUGUUCAGCUUUUUUACUCCUAUAUAGAUCUUUGAUGCUGGUCCAGAAAAAUAUAAUCAUAGAUUGAUUGUAUUUAUUCAGUUUGAUGUCCAGUAAAAGAGAAAUGAUUACCUUUUAUUGUGAAUGUGCAAAUGGAAAUUAAAAUUAGGUUUCAUGUUAAUGCAUCUUGCUAUUAAACAUUAACAGCUAAGUUAUGGAAUUGCAGCGAAAUAAGUAAACAAGAACUAUUUAAAUUUCUCAACACUAACAUAAAAUCUGCUUUCUGCAGAUUUAACACAAAAUUACACUUUGAAUGACUUCAAAGUCUUAUUAUUCAAUCCCUUCAUUACAAGCAUCAUGGAGCCUUAUUGGAGCGGCCUUUUGUUGUUACAAUCUCAUGAAAACGUGAUUCAAAGCCAGAGACCAGCUUCUGGCAGUGUUCAUGAAGACUCUUAACCCUGGCAAAUAAUUUUGGGUGAUGCUGUCACAUUUUGUAAUAGGUUGCACUAAUCUGUGAGCUUGAAUACAUUCCCUAAUAUUUGCUGAAAAUAAAAAUCUACAUUGAGGAAUAAAACUAGCUUAAAAUACGAAUUGCAUUUUUUAAAACUAUACAGGAAGUAAUUUUCCAUUCUUUUACGUUUGGCCAUUAGGGGGCGACUUGGUGCACAGAACUGGACUGCAGAGAACACAACCUUUAAUUGUGAAUAAGGAGAUGGCAUCUCCUCCUGGCCUGGCAUACACCAAAACCUAUUGGAUUUCUCUGACCACAGGUGCAGAUUCAGGUGGAACCUCAUAACUGACAAGACAGACAGCAGGAAGAUUGGAAGCAAAGAGGCAUGACAGAAACAUUUCUUACAGUUCAACUCAGGAUAGAAGAUCUGUCCGAUGCGCAGCCCAAGGAAGCUCCAAGAACCACACGCAGAUUGUGCAAUAAAAGCUGGUAAUAAAUGCAGUAGCAGGUCCAUAACAACUCAUUCUGUGGAAGU